rnacentral:lncRNA from 1 species
UUGAUUCUCGUAAGAAAUUUUGAGUAAAAACGAAGAAUCAAGCCGAUGUUGAUUGCUAGAAACUCAUCAUGUAAAUCGAAGCGAAGAAAACGAGUUUCUAGGGUUUGGAAUUGGUAAAAUAUUCAAAAGCCUUAAUUUUAGACGACCCACAUGGCUUAUUUAUAUGUUUAGAAGACUUAGAAGUAGACUAGGAUUGCAAAAAGUCGAUUUCAAAAAUCUGUGUCGUCCUCAGAGACCGGUCCUGUCGAGGAGACCGGUCUGUGAGAGACCGGUCUCUCAAGUGAGGAACCGGUCCCUCUCUGCGUAACCAAAAACCCCACGUUCGGGAACCGGUCUCUCAAACUUGAGACCGGUCCCUCGCUGCGUGACAGAACCACCAAGGUUCGGGAACCGGUCUCUCACCACAGGGGACCGGUUGCAUCAAGGAUUACGCAGUGAGGACCUUGGGGGAACCGGUCUCUCCAUCUCAGAGACCGGUCCCAGAACACAUGAAUGUUCAGAAAUUUGUUUUUAAAGCAAUCUAAGUCUUCUGAACUUAUUUAAAUUGUGUGUCUUCACCACAAAUAAUCUUUUCUUCAUACCUUAGAUGUCGAUCUUUUCGAAUGUGCCUUCAUCCUCCAAUUUGAAUCUUUUCUCAAAAACUUCUACGAUCAACUCUUCAAGACUCCAAACAACCUCACGAAAUUCGCCAACCUAUAAAAUCCUUAACAAUCUCCCCCUUUGGCGAUUUCGUGACAAAAUAUAAUACAAAAUUCGUAUACAACCAAUAAAUCAUAAAAAGAAGAUCAUCGCAAUCACCAAACGAUAAUCUCCUGCAUGAUCAAACCAAUAAACGAAAUUUACACUAUUACACCCUUAAUACAAACUCUAUGACUUAGACACGGAGUCUUGAAGUCUUGAGUUAUUCCUGCAAAAACAUUCUCAAAGCAUAAUCAAGAUUCAAGUAUCAAGAAGUAUCAAGUAUCAAGAAGAUCAAACAAUCAACUAAAGUUCACACUUCAUAGUUCAUAGUUAAACUAAACGAAAACACCAAACACCUAAAGCAUUAAAACAAAGUCAUCUUAACUAAGCAAAGCCCUAAGCUAAAUGCAUCAUCAUCAUC